GUUUUUUCUGGAAAGAAAUUCUCUUACAAGAUUUAUUUCAGAUUUUUUUCACAAUAUGGCAAUAUAAUUACAAAACUGGAAGACUGACAAACAUGACAUCCCAGACAUCACUUCCAGUUAUUAUCUGCCUGGACCCAUUUCUUCCUGCCUAAGACCUUUAUCUCCAGAAGCGUGCCAUCUUGAUGGUGUAGAUUCAAAUUUUGCUGACUGAUGGAGCAACUGGAGCAGAUACUCACCAUGUAGGUGGAACUUCUGACUUUGGGGAUCCAGGUAGGAGAUGUACAGAUAUGGCCUACUGAGUUGGAGGUACGUUAGAGAACUUGUGCUCCUCCUUCAUAG